ensembl:snoRNA small nucleolar RNA SNORD111
UUCCCUGAAGUGAUGAUUAGGAAUUCAUGUCUCUUCUCUGACAUAAGACAUGGAGACAUUUGGAUCCAAUUCUGAUCAGGUUC